UUCAGAGGAUAGAGAAGCAUAAUAGUUCAAAAGAGAACAGGUUUUAGCAUCAUGGGAAUGAUCAUCUACUGAACUCUGAAUGUAGCAGAAAAAAAAAGAAGGACGUAUCUAUUGCCUCCCACAUCCCACUGACCAAAGUGUGCCCCAUGGAGUGUUAAAUACUCCACAUUGGCUUGUACAACCUGAGUACAUUCCCAUGGUAGGUACUGCAACAGAGACAACAGAGACACCAUAGAGCUAAAAAGCAGCAGAACCCUAAACAAGGAGAUAGAAUGAAGACUUCCACUACUGUAAAUGAGGUCAUUUUUACUGCUUCGAUUUUCAGAUGCUAAUUACUAGAGAAAAGUUACUGUCAUCUGUACAUUAAUUUCAUCCUCAGCCACACUACCAGGAAUACUAUGCAAUUUUUUCCUGAAAAUACCUUUACUUUUCCCUCAAUCUCUAAAACUAAAAAUUUUAAAAUCAAAGUAUAAUAUACACACAGAAAAGCAAAUAAUUAGUGUAAGCCAUGAUAAACUAUCCAUUCACCACCACCAAGAUCAAGAAACAGUUUAUUAUUACCAGUACCCCUUCUGCUUACCCCUCACUCAAAAGUGAGUGAACUAUGAUAGAAAUCAUGAUUCUGCCUGGCUUCUAACACCAAAAAAAUCAUUUUACCUAUUUCUCAAGUUUAUGUAAGUGAAGUCUUACAUGGUUACUGAAUCUUUCUGCCUUCA